rnacentral:rRNA from 1 species
AUGGCGCAACAUCAGUUAUUUUCCUGCCGCGCACGGGGUAACGGAACUCAAACAUGGGCACGACAAGGGUCUUCAAAGGUAAACCCAGUAUGGGAUAUUGUGUGGAAGCUAAAAAUCCCGAGCAAGAUCAAGAUCUUCAUAUGGAAGGCGCUGCAUGGUACUGUUGCUUGUUAUGGGAUGCUCGCGUCAAGGCAUAUUCCAGUUUCUGCACAAUGUCCGAUUUGCUCUUCUGGUUCCGAGGACAUCCGCCAUCUCCUAUUCACUUGCAGGCGUGCUCGUCUUGUGUGGAAGGCACUUGGGCUGGAUGAGGUGAUCAACCAAGCGCUGCCAUCUGACCGAUCGGGAUCUGUAAUUUUAGAAGAGUUGCUGUGUAGUAAGACCAAGAAAUCACCGGUCCUUGGUGGUCUAGGGCUACAGGAAUCAAUCGCUGUUGCAUGUUGGUACAUCUGGUACCAACGAAGAGAGAUUGCUAAAGGCGAACAGGUGGCCGCCCCAACUCGAACCACCUUUGCAAUCCAAGCUCUAACAUCAAAUUUUGGUGUCGUCUUGAUCUCUAGUGCACCACCUGAAAUCAUGUGGACAAAGCCUAGCCCGGGGUCCUAUAAACUUAAUUUGGAUGCGGCUUUUUAUGAGGAUGGGACAGGAGCUAUGGGAGUAGUCCUCCGCAACUGUUCUGGGGAGGCAAUCGCUGGCGCUGCUGAGCCAAUUACUCAUGCUUUGGAUGCAAUGGCAGCGGAGUCUCUAGCCAUGCUUAAAGGAAUGGAUCUACUGGAACGACUAGGAUGCUCGUGGGUUACCUUGGAGUAUGACUGUUUGGAGUUGAUUAAUGCAUGCAAUGGUGACACUGAAAUUUUUGGCCCCUCCUCGGCUACCUUGGCAGAAAAUUUUGCUAGAGCAAAGCACGCUGCUGGUAUCUCUUUCCAACACUGUAAGCGGGAUGCAAAUUUGGUCGCACAUCACUUAGCAAAACACUUAUGA